rnacentral:rRNA from 1 species
AGUGAACGCUGGCGGUAGGCCUAACACAUGCAAGUCGAACGGCAGCACAGUAAGAGCUUGCUCUUACGGGUGGCGAGUGGCGGACGGGUGAGGAAUACAUCGGAAUCUACUUUUUCGUGGGGGAUAACGUAGGGAAACUUACGCUAAUACCGCAUACGACCUACGGGUGAAAGCAGGGGAUCUUCGGACCUUGCGCGAUUGAAUGAGCCGAUGUCGGAUUAGCUAGUUGGCGGGGUAAAGGCCCACCAAGGCGACGAUCCGUAGCUGGUCUGAGAGGAUGAUCAGCCACACUGGAACUGAGACACGGUCCAGACUCCUACGGGAGGCAGCAGUGGGGAAUAUUGGUCAAUGGGCGCAAGCCUGAUCCAGCCAUACCGCGUGGGUGAAGAAGGCCUUCGGGUUGUAAAGCCCUUUUGUUGGGAAAGAAAAGCGGCAGGUUAAUACCCCGCUGUUCUGACGGUACCCAAAGAAUAAGCACCGGCUAACUUCGUG